GCUAAUAACCGGAUAACAACAGAUGAUGCCUAUCAACUGUUUAAAAGAUGGUUCUGCUAUCACUCUUGGAUGGACCUGCGGUGCAUUAGCUAGUUGGUAGGGUAACGGCCUACCAAGGCGAUGAUGCAUAGCCGAAUUGAGAGACUGAUCGGCCACAUUGGGACUGAGACACGGCCCAAACUCCUACGGGAGGCAGCAGUA
rnacentral:rRNA from 1 species